AGACGUCUACAUUAGAUACCCGGGUAGUCCCAGCCGUAAACUAUGCGCGUUAGGUGUAUCGGUGACCACGAGUCACCGAGGUGCCGAAGGGAAACCGUGAAACGUGCCGCCUGGGAAGUACGGUCGCAAGGCUGAAACGUUAAAGGAAUUGGCGGGGAGCACCACAACGGGUGGAGCCUGCGGUUUAAUUGGACUCAACGCCGGGAAGCUCACCGGAUAAGACAGCUGAAUGAUUGUCAAUCUGAAGGUUUUACAUGACUAGCUG
rnacentral:rRNA from 1 species